rnacentral:rRNA from 1 species
CAGUAGCCGCGGUAAUACGGAGGGUGCAAGCGUUAAUUGGAAUUACUGGGCGUAAAGCGCACGCAGGCGGUCUGACAAGUCAGAUGUGAAAUCCCCGGGCUUAACCUGGGAACUGCAUUUGAAACUGUCAGGCUGGAGUCUUGUAGAGGGGGGUGGAAUUCCAGGUGUAGCGGUGAAAUGCGUAGAGAUCUGGAGGAAUACCGGUGGCGAAGGCGGCCCCCUGGACAAAGACUGACGCUCAGGUGCGAAAGCGUGGGGAGCAAACAGGAUUAGAUACCCCGGUAGUCCCUGUUCUCUUAUA